CAGGAUGUUGUGAAAUUGAAAACAUGGACGAUGAUUUCAAGACUUGCUGCUAUCGAAUACAGAUCGCCCCGUGAUCAAUUUGAUAGAUUAUUAACGUUUAUUAAUACCUAAAGUUGGUUUAGAAAAGUAGUUUGAAGUGAUUUGUAUAGGCAACUUUUGUAAUUUUAAAAAGUGACGUUGCGUCUUGUAAAGGGGCAUUUUCCAGGAUCAGACUGGCCUUCAGCAAAUGACAUUUUGGGUAUACAAUGACGGAUUUAAUCGGGAAAAAGACCCAAUUGUGAUGUUUAUGGGACAUAUAGGAAUGCCAACAAAGAAGCUCGUCAAAGCUGCCCAGUCGUUUGGGCUGAUCAUGAAUCAUGGAAAUUGAUUAUGCUGUCACCCUUCAAAUCCCCCUGCCCAGAACUUGACCGGGGUGUGUGUGACUAUCGGUCGGUCAAGCCUGCUUAGGGAUGCACUGCAGGCCUACCCUGGAGAAGGGCCCGGCCGGUCUGUCAGCCCCGUGGGUCAUGCAACCUCCUAACCGUGGUGAAUGGAAGGAGGAGGGAAGGAAGACGUCCUGCUUAAAAUACCAGUUUCCCUGCCGUCUCCCGUCUCCCCUGCCAGUUCCCCGUCGCCAUCUUUCCUGUGUGCUAGCCCAGUGUCAUCCGUCUUAAUCCAAGUGCUGACGACACCCUACUUUUGCUAGAGAAGAUUCCCACCAACAACAUGGAAAUAUCUAGAGAAGACCUGAGCCCUAGGACCAUGCCUCAGGACUACUUGGCCUGACUCCUUGCUGUCCCCAGUCCACCUGAUUGUGCUGCUGCUCCAGUUUCAACUGUUCUGCUUGUGGCUAUGGAACCCUGACCUGUUCACCGGACGUGCUACCUUGUCCCAGACCUGAUAUUUUCAACUCUCUAGAGACAGCAGAUGCGGUAGAGAUACUCUGAAUGAUCGGCUAUGAAAAGCCAACUGACAUUUACUCCUGAG
ensembl:lncRNA